UACAGAGGUCCCAAGCGUUGUUCGGAUUCAUUGGGCGUAAAGGGUGCGUAGGCGGCGCGGUAAGUCGGGUGUGAAAUCUCGGGGCUUAACUCCGAAACUGCAUUCGAUACUGCCGUGCUUGAGGACUGGAGAGGAGACUGGAAUUUACGGUGUAGCGGUGAAAUGCGUAGAUAUCGUAAGGAAGGCCAGUGGCGAAGGCGGGUCUCUGGACAGUUCCUGACACUGAGACACGAAGGCCAGGGGAGCAAACGGG
rnacentral:rRNA from 1 species